rnacentral:lncRNA from 1 species
UCGAAAACUCUUAAAAUAACGAUAACCUAAUGCACACUGUUUACAAAGGACAUCUGAACAGCGGGAAGGUCAUAUCUGGUGUUGGAACAGUUCUCUUCAGAGUUAGAAAAUUACGAGCAUCACCAGCAAGGAAAGAUCUGAGUGAAACAGUCAUUGUGGAACGACCUUUAUACUGCACUCAAAAUCUGGAGACAGGUACCCACUGCAGAGGCUUUUCCAUGCCAGUCAUACUUGCUGUGUUUUAUUCCUCAAUCAACUGGGGCAGUUAAGGGGGGAAAAAAAAAGAAAGAAAAAAAAAAAGAGACAGAUUUGGUUUUUUAGGGAUAAUUAAUAGGCGUGAUCAGGAUUUAUGUUAACACCGAAACUUCAGUUUAGAUACUAGACAUGGGGAUGGAGUGAAAUUUUUCACCCCACAGCCAACAGACAGAAACUUUUCAUUUCUCUGAACUGACAUGGAAGGCAGAUGAGCUACUGCCUCCUCUCACGUUCCCCCAGUAUUAAAGGUAGAGAUACGCUUCAUAAGUUUAAUAAACAGAUAACUAAAAAUACAGUUUAGUAACAUUUCCCAUAAAAAUCUUACCAAUAGCACAGUACCGAAAUCAGUGCAACAAAAUCAAAAUGACAGGAAGGAAUAUUUACGAUACUGUAUUGUACCAAAAUUGCAAGAUCAGAAAUUUCUAAGGUGCAAAGUUGGCUAUAUUCUACACAGAUACAGGGGUCUGUUUUCUUGCUUCUAGUAUGAACCAUCACCAUCAUUACGGACGCACCACAUAUCCAUGCUGAACAUUUAAAUGACCAAAUGUCAUCCUUAGGUUGACAGGCAGAACUCUUCUACCAAAUCCAGUGGGAUGCAAACAUCAGCAUCCAAGGGCCAAAUUUAGUCCCUCAGUUGCAGGAGUGUCAUAUGCUGGAUGGAGAUUAACUACUGUAAACCCAGGAAUACAAAACAUGGAGAAAGUGUAUUUAAAUACAUGGAGGGAGGUAUUUAAAUAGAAAUCUUACAAAGAGCUUAAUGGUUUGUUUUACAGUAGCUGAAAGACAAUUACUACAUUUUUAAAAGGACAAAAUGGAGGGCCCAGCACUCCACAUUUUAUUUAGCUGCAGUUUUGUCCUAGUUCAAUCUGGGCACAAAUUUUUAAAGACUAUUUACACCAACCAGAUUUGCAGGUUUAGCCAUGAGCACCUCUAAAACCAGAGAGAGGCCACAAAAACAGGCUCUUGCAGCGUCAAGUGUAUUAAAAAGUCACCAUUCAAAAUACCUCAUUCUUAAAAAUUACUGAAGGGCAUCAUAAUAGAAGGAGAAUGGCUGCUAGGUUUCCAGAUUAACUGAAAUUCCCAGUCAAUUCACCCAUAUUCUUAAGCAUACUGGACAGUUAAUCUACAUAUUAUUUACAAUAAUUCUUGCUACUACCCAACAAAACCAAAAGAGAAAACUCCUUGUUGACUCACAGCUCUCUACACUUUGCAAACUAAACGAUCUCCAGUUUCUUAUUUUGGGCAAAACUAUCCAAUAUUUGCCAUUGGAUUUUAACUACAAGUGAACAAAGUUUGUCUUGAAAAGCAACACAUUAAGUGAAUUAGUUUGUUCCAUUAGUCUAUUUUUAAACUACUACAUCAUAUUUACUGAAACAGCUAUGGCAUAAGAGGUUACAUAGCUAAGCUUAAGUAAUGCCAUAAUCUGACACAAUCCACUUGGUUAUGCCCCAAAACUAUUUACAGUGAACUUGAUUCAAACAAACUACUUGGUUCAAAAAGUGUCCAAAGAAUUCCAAGUCCAUAAAAUAAUCUUUCCUAAGAAGUUGUUUGGGAAUGAUUUAGUCAUGAUCUGUUAAUUUUAAGAUAUUCAUAUACUGAGAUACACCCAUGGGCAAAAGCCUCAUUGGAAAUGAAUCCCAGGACCUACAGAUGCGUUAGCAAACAAGGGUAAGUCUGUGCCACAGUGUGGAGCAGAUGGAAGGGGAAAUGAAGGGAGGAGGGCAAAUGAAAUCUAGUCUGCAUAGAAAGAUAAUUAAUUAGGUUGAGACAUGUAUGUAUCAACACAUGCAGGCAUCUGAAAAACAAUGAGUAACUAAAAAAAUCCUGAUUAUGGAACCGAGUUAACUACAUCUUGAUCCUUAAAGGGGGCUAAGCAAACAUAGAUGACUACAGCUGUAUUAUGUUUUCAGAAUUAAAAGCUGUAUACGCAAAGUAGCACCACGCUCCACUAACAAAACCUAAGCUGGUCUUUUAACCAUGCAAGUAGUCUAAGAAGUCAGCUGUUCAAGUUAUGAACAGAUCCGAGUAACUCUUCAUAAAACAUACCCCAGGCCCCUGUGCACCAUCAGAAAAAAUGGACCAAUUUUAGAUAAAACUUCUUGAUACUCAUUAUCCUCUACCCACCUAAGCCCUUGCAGAACAGAAACUUCUUCCAAAGCAAUCCAGCUGAUUUUACACUUCCUAUUGUGUGCAGAACUGACUGAAAGAAAAAUCCAUCACUGGAAGCAAU